ACUCCUACGGGAGGCAGCAGUGGGGAAUAUUGGACAAUGGGGGAAACCCUGAUCCACGCCAUGCCGCGUGUGUGAAGAAGGCCUUUUGGUUGUAAAGCACUUUAAGCAGUGAAGAAGACUGCCGUGGUUAAUACCCACGGACGAUGA
rnacentral:rRNA from 1 species